UUCCCCUUCUUCCCUCAGCGUCCGAGAGACCAGAGCUGACGCCGGCACUGGCCUGAGAAGCCCGAGCGGGGCAGCACCGCCCCUCACGCCGCCACCGCCGCCGCCUCCUCCUCCCCUUCGCCCUCCCACUCCCACCCCCAGCCAAGGCCUGCUGACCGCGCCGAGCGCCGAGCUGGACUGACCACGGCGGCCCCGGAGACGGGAGGAGGAAGCAGGCGGCCCGCCCCUGGGAUCGCGCUCGCGCCCGCGCCGCCGCUGAGGGGAUUGAAUUGAGGCGCGGCGGCUGCGGGAGGCGAAAAGGAAGGAGGAGCCGCCGCGCGAGUGCGACGGGGGCAGAGCCGUAGAGAUCGACUCAGAAGGAAACGGGGAGGAGGAUGUCUCACAGAGCGGCCAGCGUCCGGAUCAGCCAGUGACUCUUAACAGCGGCGGGCCUCAGACCCCAGCGCGGACUCGGACUUUGUCUUUGGGAGCCCCUGCUCUGCCUUUCCUGGUUUCCGGCAAGAUCGCAGAGGAGCCGGCGUGCCUCUCUGCCCUCCAGCCUUCCUCACCAUGUCCAAGAUGCCGGCCAAGAAGAAGAGCUGCUUCCAGAUCACUAGUGUCACCACGGCCCAGGUGGCCACUAGCAUCACCGAGGACACUGAGAGCCUGGACGACCCGGACGAGUCACGUACAGAGGACGUCUCCUCCGAGAUAUUCGACGUUUCUCGGGCCACGGAUUAUGGCCCUGAGGAGGUCUGCGAGCGCAGCUCCUCCGAAGAGACGCUCAACAAUGUUGGGGAUGCAGAGACUCCGGGGACCGUCUCCCCAAACCUCCUCCUGGACGGGCAGCUGGCGGCCGCGGCGGCUGCUCCCGCCAACGGAGGAGGAGCCCUUUCGGCCCGGAGCGUGGCUGGGGCGCUGGCCAGUACCCCGGCGGCGGCCACCACCUCGGCCCCCUCUUCGGGGGCACCCGGCGCCCCCCCGGUCACGGGCUCGUCUGCCGGGCCAGGGACCGCAGCCCCACCACAGCCCCCCACGACUUGUAGUUCCCGUUUUCGUGUGAUCAAGCUGGACCACGGGAGCGGGGAGCCCUACCGCCGCGGCCGAUGGACGUGUAUGGAAUACUAUGAGCGGGAUUCAGAUAGCAGCGUCCUGACCAGGUCCGGGGAUUGCAUUAGGCACAGCAAUACUUUUGACCAGACUGCGGAGCGGGACAGUGGCCUGGGCGCCACCGGAGGGUCGGUGGUGGUGGUGGUGGCCUCCAUGCAGGGGGCGCACGGGCCCGACUCGGGAACUGACAGUUCCUUGACUGCUGUGUCACAGCUACCCCCGUCGGAGAAAAUGAGCCAGCCCGCCCCGGCCCAGCCGCAGAGUUUUGGCGUUGGGCAGCCACAGCCACCGCCGCCCGUAGGUGGGGCUGUGGUUCAAAGCGCGGCUCCAGUGCCGCCGUUCCCGGGAGCCGCGGCCGGGCCUCAGCAAAUGAUGGCAGCCCCGCAGCCAAGCCAGCCCCAGGGAACCGGCCCCGGCGUCCUCCCGCAGGGGCCCAAUGGACAGGGGCUGCCACUGACGAAUGUAACCCUGACGCAGCCCGGCGUGCCCCUGCCGCAGCAGCCGGGCCCCGCCGUCGGCGCUCCUACGACGCAGCCGCCCCAGCAGUUCGCGUACCCUCAGCUACCGCCUGGGCAUUUGCUGCCAGUCCAGCCCGCGGGUCAGGGUGAGUACCUACAGCAGCACGUGGCCAGCCUGCAGCCGCCAAGCCCCGCGCAGCCCUCGUCCGCCGGAGCGAGCCUCGCCACCGCUGCCAGCCUUCCAGUGGGCACCGGCCCGAAUGCCUCGGUGGGUGCGCAGAUAAUGGGCGUGUCUUCCUUGCCCAGUGAAGCUGUGGCCCCGGGGCCGGGACCCGCGCCAGGCGGGCAGGCCGCGCCUGGUCAGCCGGCCGGAGUGCCCUUGGCUGCUGUGGGAUGCGCCGUGCCGCCGGGCCUGGUCCCCCCUGGGACCGGGCAGCUCCAGUCCGUGCCUCCACCGCAGAUGGGUGGCAGUGGUGUGUCGUCAGCCGUGCCUGGCGGCCCCCACGCAGUACUGCCCGGAGUUCCAAACGUGCCUGCAGCCGUGCCCGCUCCAAGCGUGCCUAGUGUGUCUACCACCUCUGUUACUAUGCCAAAUGUACCCGCGCCUCUGGUCCAGUCGCAGCAGCUGAGCAGCCAUACGCCAGUCAGCAGGAGCAGCAGCAUAAUCCAGCAUGUUGGGCUGCCCUUAGCGCAAGGCACACCCAGUGCACCAACAAGUCUACCACAGUCUGACCUAAGCCAGUUUCAGACUCAGACCCAACCUUUAGUCGGGCAUGUUGACGAUACUAGAAGAAAAUCAGAACCCCUACCUCAACCACCACUUUCUCUCAUUGCUGAAAAUAAGCCUGUUGUGAAGCCUCCUGUUGCAGAUGCCCUGGCAAACCCCCUUCAGUUAACACCUAUGAACAGUCUCGCCACCUCUGUAUUCAGCAUAGCUAUUCCUGUUGAUGGUGAUGAAGACAGAAUUUUUUUUAGAAUUCAGCAUCGGAGGAGGAAUGUGACAUAAUAAUGAUCGAAAGCCGAAAGUUUAAAAGUUGUGAUGCCCUCACAUGGUUGGAGGGUUAUUCUAGCUUCUAAGGACUGAAUGUUGUCCACAAGAGUGUCUCAUCAGGUCAUAAAUUGUGCUUCUGGGGGAGGUGGUGUAGCCAUUGACAACAAAAUAGAACAAGCAAUGGAUCUGGUGAAAAGCCAUUUGAUGUAUGCAGUAAGAGAAGAAGUGGAAGUUCUAAAGGAACAAAUAAAAGAAUUAGUUGAAAGAAACUCUUUACUUGAACGAGAAAAUGCACUGUUAAAAUCUCUUUCAAACAAUGAUCAGUUAUCCCAACUCCCAGCCCAACAGGCCAAUCCUGGUAGCACUUCUCAACAGCAAGCAGUGAUAGCACAGCCUCCGCAGCCAACGCAACCUCCACAGCAGCCGAAUGUCUCCUCAGCAUAAAGCUUUCUUGCCUCAUUAAGAAAAAAAACUGAAAGCAAUCUAUCCUUGUGUGCCACUGGUAUUCUUUCCACUUUAUACGAAAGCAAGUAGCCAUGCUUCGGUUGUGUGUUUGGCCUUUUCAGUAUUAGACAAUCAUUCUGCAGGAGCUUUUCCUCCCUUUGAGAUGUCAUGCAGCAUUGUUGAUGUCCAGUUUCAUGUCAUCAGUACACAAGGAGAAUAAUAGAUGGGGUUUAUUAAAGCAAGCAAAGUCUGCGUUUUACCUGGUGCGCAUGAGUGGGGUCUUUUAAGAGCUUUGGUGGCUCUCCCGUUUUUCCUAUUAUCCAUGGAUUUACCCUGAGCCUUCCUAUCACAUUAUAAAUAACAGUUCAUCUAAAGAGCCACUUUUCUUUCAAUAUCAGUAACAUUUGCCUACGUAAGUUUUCAUUUAUUUGUGUUUUAUUUAUUACAGGGCUGCUAUUUUCAUAAUGUACAUGAACAAUGUCACAGAACUUUUUUAAUUUUUUUGAAUUAUUAUAAGUAUCAGUAAAGGAUUUGAAAGACAGGAUUGCAUUUAAUAGAUAAAACGUUUAGGCAAUAAUUGAACAAAAGAAUCCUGGCAUAUUUCUAACACUAAUGGCAAUUUACCUUCGGUAUUUAUUUUCAGUAGUACAGACCCAGCUUGAAUGUAAAUUUUGUAUAGUGUAAGUAUGAAGAACAUAGUGCAACUGUACAGGUAGUCACCAGUUAUUGUGAUAUAAUAAAUAAUUGGGCUAUUUUGAUGAAGAAAACUUUGUUCAUUUGUUUCUACUUUCUAAUAGAGAAAUUGCCACGAUUCCUCUGCUUUUUGACAUUUCGUAUGACUUUUCUUUUUUCGGGUGGGAAUAAAAAGCUGUGAAAUUGUUCAACCUACUUUGUAACCAAAGAAGCAAAGCUGUGUAAUGGAGUUUUUUUUAUAAUGCACAUUCUUUAUGUAUUUUUAUUUAGUGUUUUCUCGGUCACAAUUUUCUUUGCUGUCUAGCAUGAUCUGCAUGACCUAUAAUCUUUGAACCACUUUCGUACCUCAUGUUUUUAUCCAGCACUCUUAUUGUAAUAUGUACUAGUCUGUGAACAAUGUCAAAUAAAAAAGAACGAACAGGUAGUAUGGUGGAGCUGAGCUAGUGUACUGUAUACACUAGUUGUAAAAAAAAAAAAAAUGAAGUGAGCCAUCUUUUGUUCAUUUAAAAUGGUGUUUUGAAUUUCGUAUGCAGAAAACGUUUUGUUACAUUGCAGAUUUUAAUGUAUUUAAUAAAUGCAACAUGCAGAUUAAGUGCAGUGUAUACUGAGUAUUUAAAUUAAAAUGUACAUUUCAUAAAUACAGUUUCAAGAGAAAGCAUCAUUUUGUGUAUACUAACACAUUAAGUGUAUGUCAGAAAUUGAUGUAUAAAUAUAUAUUUUAACACAUUUUCUGAAAUUAAACUGCAGUUUUGUUGAAAUAUUUGGCUCUAUAUGUGUUCAAAAUUUAAUUUGAUUAGAUUUGUAUUUUCACAGUUCAGGAUAUUCCUUAAAUGAAAACCUGUGUUAUUAAUGACUUAAUGAUAGUUCUUAAAUUUUCAAAGUAAAAUAAUUUAAAGAAUGCAAGAAUGGUGAGCAAUAUUUGUACUCAAGAUUCAUAUUAUGUCCGUGACAUUUAAGUAAAACCCUUGUCUACCAAAACUUUACUUGAAUUCAGAAAGGUGCCUGUAGAAAAUUAACAUGCUUUGUGUCUGUAGCCAGCUAGCUGAUCAGGAGUUAAUGAGAACCAAUAGUUUGCUCUCCAUGUUGUUAAAAGAGGAUAAAUAAGUGUUUAUCUAUUUAAAAUUAAAACUUCAUUAGAUUUAGCUACAAACUAAAUGCAUAAAAUUGGAGUGUAUGUGGCAUCACCAAAUAUUUUAUAUUCCAGUUGUGCUGGUAUAUUGAAUAUAAACAAUUUUAAUGUUAACGAAUAACAUUAGAAGUAACUAAGGAACUAAUGACAUAUCCUUGAAGAAGCAGUCCUAUAGAUGCGGAGUGAGAUUUUAAGUAGAGUCACCCACAGAUGAGUUAGAAAAUGAAACUUCCAUGUUGGAAUGUUAACCAGAAGGCUCACCGGGUAUGCCCCUCAAAUGCAAACAGUGUGAUAUUUAAUACAGGCAAAGAAAAACUAAUAUUAGGAAAGGUUGAGAUUUUUUUGUGAAAAUACAAAUUUUGGUUCUUGGGAUAGAAAAACACUUUAUAAAUACAAAGUAAUCACAAAGGAAAUGAUUGAUACAUUAAUUUUAAAUGGCAAUUAAAAGCAAUUAUUACUACUACAUUUUAAAAAAACCACCAGGACAGAAAAUAAGGGUAGUUCACAGAAGAAAUGGCAGUUUCUCAAGUUUCAGCCUCUAGUAACCUAAGAAAUGCAAAUUAAUAUUUAACAAAUUGUCAUUUGUCUUUUAAAUAGGACCUAAUGUAGAAAAGGCAAGCUUUCUUAUGUACUUCUAGAAAGUAGUUUGGCAAUAUGUAUCAAGAGCCUUAAAUAUUAAUAAACUUUUCAGUUUAAUACAAGAAGGUAACUCAUGGUGCAGUGUUCAAAAAAUACAAAAUUACAAUAGUGCUUGUCCUUUGCUCUCCCAUAUCCGCCCCCCCUUCCCUGUGGAUUCCCCUCCCCAAUAUCUACUCCUGUAAACAGCUGUGAAAGGAAGCCUUUACAUCCAAACCUACUCUCAUGAGGCAUGCCCCCACCCCAAAGUGAGGGACAGACUUAAAGGUGAGAAAGCUUAUUUUUCAUAAUCAGAUUCACUGUUUUGGGAACAAUAUCAGACAUUCCCCCAAGUGAUUAGUUUGUUUAGGAACGUAAGUAAAUUUAAGUUUGACCUCAGGAGAUUUAAGGUCUCUUUCUCCACAUAAUUGGAAUAUUUAUUGAGAUGCCAAUUUGGGGGCACAGUCUUACAGGAAUGCCAUCGGAAUGCCAUCUAUAAUUUUCUCAGUGUAAUGUCCACAGACCAAGGUGCCACAUAAGUUUUCUGUGGGUUUAUUUUAGCCAACCAGAAAAUCACAAGUGAAAAUUUCACAAGUGAAAAAUUUGUUUCUGAUAAUGGCAAUGUGUCUGCAAUACAAACCUAACUUUCCCCAAAGAAAAUUUAUUUUUGGUAGUGAAUGAUGUGAUUUUACAGCUUGCUAUGCCCCUCCCAAAAAAGGAUUAUGAGAUAUUAAGUAUAGUUACUUCAGCUGUAUGUUGAAAAUAACUGGAGAUUUCCAAUUCUGUUACAUUCUGAGUUAAGUAGAAGUAUUAAGACAGAAUGCUUUACCAUCAAGUCCCCAGAGAUGGGUAAUCAUAACUGCUUUUAUUCACAAAGAAUUGUCACAGGUCAGAGAUAGUGAUGUUUCUCCAAGUUCCAAACUCUAGUCACUCCUAGACCUUUUAAAAAGAGCGAGGGGAAGUCCUUAGAAUUAGAGUAACAAAAAUACCUGUUCUUCAUGGGAAUUUAUCUCUGUAGAACCAGAAAUAAAGUAUCAGUUGAUUUGGAGGGAAUACAUUUUUAAGUCACGAGUUUUUUGUUUUUUUUAAAGAGGCUCAGUGGCAGGCACUUUGUGACAUGACUCAGUUCUCUUUGAUAAUUUUGUUACGAGGACAAAGCCCAGCUCUAAAGAUUUCACAGUUGAGGUCAUACACAAACCAACAUGUACAAUGCAAUAAUAAAAACAGUCAAGGAUGGUUUUGUCAAGGAAGGUUCCCUAAAGAGGUGACACCUGAUAAGAAAAAAGUGCUCAAAAGCUUAGAGGAGGGCAUAAGCAAAGCUCUUUUGGAUAGUCACAGAGUUGUUUCCCAGGAGACAGACAUGCAGGCUGACUCAUCCACCUUAGUAGGUUGGCCUCGAGAGCAAAAAUAAUUUAUCGAAUGAUUUUAGGCAGUGGGAUUGUGAUCAGAUAAGCAUUUUAGAAAAAUUAAUCAUUCUAGUUAUCAAUGAUGGGCAGUAGAUUGGUGAGCUGAAACUGGAAGUGGAGAAGUAAUUUAGGAGAGACAAUAAUGCAGAAAUAAGCAAAAUUACAAAAUGAUAAAUAGGCAGAUUUGUGAUGCUCAUUAGGAAGUUUGUCUUGGAUCUUUCUAUAUUCCCAACGUCAGGUGCCUAUUUUUUCUGCUUCCAAAGAAAGAUCUGAGAACCCCAAGUCUUAACAAUGUUUUAGUCAAAACUUUUCCUUCCAAUAGCCAUAUACCUCUUUGAAAUGGAAGUCUGUGUAGAGGAAUUUCACGGAUUUAGCAAAAGGGUAAGGGGAAUGGAGGAGCCCUGGCUAUCACAUUUAUGCCUCUAUAAAUUCGGCCCUAUAGGUAAACCAAAUUUAGUCCUUUUAUGGUGACUAGGAUUAGAGUGGCCCAGAAGCGUGAGUCCAAAGCCUGUCUUUCAGGGCUAUCCCUCCCCAAAAAGAACAAUACGGGUUCUGGCCCCAUUGCAGAUACUGAAACCCAAGUCAAAAUAGGUUUUGCUCGCUUCAACUUUUCUUCAUUCUUUUGACACAGUUCAAUUCAGGAAGGCUUCUUUCUUCCCCGUAAGUCCGCUGCCUAAGCAAAACAACCUUUUCUCCCACCUCCUCCUGCCUCAAACCUAGUACUACUCAUGUUUCUAUUUUCUAGCAAUACUAAUGAUUUAUUGUUUAGUGACGGAUAUUUGCUCCCUAUUUUCCCCUUUUCAGCAUUCUAGGAUGCGUCCCUGUUACAUGUAUUUCUAUGCCAAGUCGCAGAAUUUCUAUAGCAAGAUCUGUCCUUUGAAUGUAUGUAUUCCUUUGUCAGUGGAGAAUAUUACUGUCCAAGUGCUAUUUAAUGAUUUCCUUAGUGGGCUACAAUUGGUAUAACGUGCUAUGUUCACAGGUGAAAAUUGCUAAGUGAGGCACUAUACAAAGCAAGUUAAGGUCAUAGACCUCUUUUUUUAAAAUAAUCAUCAUAAAAGUGAGACAGUCUUUCAGGAUUGGUAAUAGGAAAGUAUGAAGUUGGUAUUUUGCACUGACACAGUCUACUUGGUCAUAAAAUUUGUUAAACAUACUUAAUGAGUUAGCUUUAUUUUUUCUUCUUCUAACCAGGGAAACUGAAAGAUUAGGCAAUUUUGAGAAUUUUCCCAUGAUCUGAUGUCAUGGACUGAGCUAUAAAACAGAGCAUCUAAAUUUAUGGACUAACACUGACCACAGAAGCCAAAGUUAUCCCUUUAAAAGAGGGAAGGAAAAGGUGUGCUAACUUAGAUCAUAAAAAUAACUGAAUUUUAAAACAAGGCAAAUGCCACGCUUCUAUUUCCCCCCCAAAAAAAGUUUUUACCCUUUCAUCUUUCUCUAUAAUAACCGUAAAGUAUUCUUGCCCACUGCAAUCCAACUGUUUUCCAGAUCACAGUUCUUAUCAUCAUUUCACAGGCAAGCAGCGCAUCUAUAGGUAGAUCAUACCUGAGGACGUCAUGGACAGCAAGUGAAUAUUUUUCCCACACUUGGCAUGACAUAAUAUCAGGUCAGUGUCUUAUUCUAGUGUUUCUACUAAAAUAUAUAAUAUAUAAUUUGAUCAGGUGCCUGAUGGACAGAAAAAAAUAAAUAUGUGUAACUUUGUAAAUCCCCUCAAGGUUUUGUUUUUGAGAAGUUUGGGUUUUAUUUUUUAUUUUAUAGAAACGCUGUUGAAAUGCACUUCAAUUCUAUUUCAAUUCAGGUGCUGCACCCUGUACUAGAUGUUUGGGGAUAGAAAGAUAAGUGGAACACGAUUUGUGCGCUCCAGGAGCUAUCAUCCAAUGUAAAAGAAAACUAAAGUGCCAUUGUUUAUUCAAAGUAUAUGUCAUAGUUUGUGGACCUCAUAUAAUCUGUUGAAUGGAAGGUUCAUGUAAAUCGACAGUAAUAUUGCCAGGCCACAUGAAACCCUUUGACAUUGCCAGGAAACAACUUUAAAUCACCAAAAAGCUUUUACAUCAAACAAUACUUUUAGAAAGAGGGGACUUGGUGAAAAGCUUCCUAUCUCUACAUUGAGCCUGUGAGGUGUCCCCUAAAAGAGAGAAGUUUACACAUUUUUUUAAUACUUUAAGUUUGUAGAUAAUGGAACUGAUUUAAAUCAAACUUAACUAGAAUAGAAUUUGUGUGUCAUGAGUUAUAUUAUCUAUUGUCUCAUAAGCAACACACUCAUUAUCUUGGCUGACAAAAUCAGCUACCAUUCAAUGAACCAAGUUAAGAAUAACUCAGGUGCCUGAUGCCAAAAAUAAAUCUGAUAGAGCUGAGAAUCCAGAAACAAUUAUUAUUCAGUAAAGGAUAAAAGUAACAUUUCAAAUCAGUAAGGGAAGAAUGGACUAAUAAUAAAUAGUAUUGGGAUGACAUAACCAUUUGGGAAAAAUAAUUUAGAUCUCUAGCUCACAGAAAUUAAUUCCAGCUAGACAAGCAGUAAGUCUUACGCUUUUUGGUUACAUAUCCCUUAGAAACCUCCCUCUAAAAAUGCAGAUAAGCAAGAAGUUUUACAAGUUUAUGAAGUGAUGCCCAACCUCAGCAAAAUAAAGGAAAUGCACAUUAAAAAAUAAACUAUCUCAAAUCCAAUUGGCAAAUACUUAAAAUAUAUGUAAAUCACAAGCCUGCAAGGGUGUGGAAAAACAGGAAUCCUACGUUGCUAGUAAAUGUAUAAAUUGGCACAGCUACCUUUAAAGGCAGUCGAAUGAUAUCCGUUAAAAUUUAAAAUUCACAUGCCCUGUCACCCAACAUUUCCAGUUUUUAAUGAAACACACUUUUCAUACUUGUGUUCACAGGAUGGCCUUGUACAAUUGUACCUUUGUAAUAAAGUAAAAUUGGAAAAAACAAAAUACCCAUCAAGAGGAUGGAACAAUAUACAACACUGGGCAUCAAUGAAAAAGAAUAAGAUUCAUACACAUACUGACAUGGAAAGAUCUCGAAGAUACAAUAAGUUUUUUGAAAGUUUGGAGGAAAAUAAAGGCUAAUACAUGCAAUACAUAUGAUACCAUUGAUUUUAAGACGCAUAUAUACAUAUACACACACACAAAUAAAUACUGUAUAGUGUACUUCUUAAGUACCUAUUUGUAUAUUAUAAAAAUGUACAGAGAAGGUCUGGAAGAAUACUAACCAAACUGUUAACAGUAGUUUGGUGGAGUGCAUUAGCUUUAACUGUAAUAUUCGAUGUUUUUGAGUAUGCAUUCAUGUAUUGUUUGUGUAAUGACAAAUUAAUAAAUUAG